UAUUGCAACUACCUGGUUUGUGACGCUGACGGGGCGCAUCUGUGACUAAAGAUCCCAUCUCUGAACUUCAAGACGUCGGGAUUCUCUCUCUCUCUUUUUUAUAAAUCGCUUAAUGUUUUAUAAAUGAGAGAAAAGAAGUCGGGAGGUUUUAUUUUCUGUGGAUGAAUAAUUAACCUGACAACUCAAGCCCUUGUGUACAGAGGAGCAAUGAUAUGAGAAGCUGAGCCACGGAUCGGCGUGCGCCUCCACCACUGGUAGAAACUGCAGGUGUUUUAUUUUAGUUUGUCUUUUAGCAUUUUUUUUACGGCAUUUGAACUGGACAAAGUGGACUGUAAUCAUGCUGGGAGCGGAGAGCAGAGUGGAAAGCCGGCUGAAGAAGCUGGAGUCCAUGGUGAAGAAUCCAAUGUCGUCGCUCAACUUAUCAACUCUGCUGGAUUCCAUGAAUGCCUUAGCUCAUGAUCUCAACUACCCCUUCCUGCGAAAGAACAAGAACAUUGAGGCAUUUCUGAACAGAUAUGAGAAGCUGGUGAAUGAACUGCGAGAGCUGCAGGUGAAGGUUGACGACUUUGAAAAAGUGAAGUUGAUCGGGAGAGGAGCCUACGGUGAAGUGCAGCUGGUCCGUCACAAGGCCUCGAAGAAGGUUUACGCCAUGAAGCAGCUCAGCAAGUUCGAGAUGAUCAAAAGGUCAGACUCGGCCUUCUUCUGGGAGGAGAGGCACAUCAUGGCGUUUUCCAACAGUCCCUGGAUUGUUCAGCUUUGCUGCGCUUUCCAAGAUGAUCGGAACCUCUACAUGGUGAUGGAGUUCAUGCCGGGCGGAGAUGUGGUCACACUCACCAUAAACUACGACAUCCCCGAGAAGUGGGCUCGCUUCUACACGGCCGAGUUGGUGCUGGCGCUGGAUGCCAUCCACUCUAUGGGUUUCAUCCACCGCGACAUUAAACCGGACAACAUGCUGCUGGACCAGCACGGACACCUCAAACUAGCCGACUUUGGCACCUGCAUGAGGAUGAACUCGUCUGGUAUGGUGCACUGUGUGACAGCUGUAGGCACACCAGACUACAUCUCCCCGGAGGUGCUUCAGUCUCAAGGCGGUGAUGGUACCUACGGUCAGGAAUGUGACUGGUGGUCUGUUGGAGUUUCCCUGUACGAAUUGCUUGUUGGCGAAACUCCGUUCUAUGCCGAGUCUCUCAUCGGAACAUAUGGGAAGAUCAUGAACCACCAUAACGCUCUGGUCUUUCCGGACGAUGUGGAGAUGUCUCAGAAUGCCAAAGAUCUCAUAAGUGCUUUUCUCACUGACAGGAAGGUUCGACUGGGCCGCACCGGAGUGGAUGAGAUCAAACGUCACCCCUUCUUCAAGGACGACCAGUGGACCUUUGACAACAUCCGUGACACUGUGGCUCCAGUGGUUCCAGAGCUGAACAGCGACAUAGACACCAGUAACUUUGAUGACAUAGAGGUGGAAAAGGGAACUGCCGAGACUUUUCCUCCUCCCAGAGCGUUUACGGGCAACCAGCUACCAUUUAUCGGCUUCACUUAUUUCAAGGAGGAUCAGCUCCUGAGCAGAACAGGCAGCAGCUCUGAGGAGGAUUCAGACGACUGUAAGGAAAACUGUAAGGAUACAGAAAAUUCUGCAGAUAGCAAGAAAGACCUGCAGAAAAAGGUGAAGCAGCUGGAGGAGCAGCUUGAUCAUGAGAUGCAGGCCAAAGAUGAACUGGAGCAGAAGUGCAAAAAUGCCACCAAUCGUUUAGACAAGCUGGUCAAUGAACUGGAUAAGGAGAUGAACAGUCGGCAGAAAGUGGAAGCCUCCAUGAGGCAGCUGGAGCGAGAGCGAGCCCUGCUGCAGCACCAGAGUGCGGAGAACAUCCGCAAGGUGGAGAUGGAGGCAGACAGGAAGCGCAUCCUGGAAAACGAGUUGAACAACUUGAGGGACCAAUUGGAGGACAUGAAGAAGAGGAACCAACACUCACAAAUAUCCAAUGAGAAGAACAUCCAGCUGCAAAAGCAGCUCGACGAGGCUAACGAUGCCCUGCAGGCUGAGCAGGAGGCGGUGGCUCGGCUGAAGAAGGGCCAGGCGGAGGCACAGAAACAAGCCCAGAGCCUCGAAGUCAGCCUCAGGGAGAUGGAGAAAAAGUGCAGCGGACUGGAAGCGAGCAAGGCGGAGCAGGAGAAGCAGAUGAGGGGGCUGCAAGACGAGCUGGAGGAGGAGAGGAGAGAACACAACCUCAAGACGGAGACCCUCGCUGACCUGCAGGGAACAAUUUCACUCCUAGAAGACGAAGUGAAGGAGGUGAAAUCUUCUCUUUCCAAGGUCAACAGUGAAAAAAAGGAACUACAGACGAAGCUAAAUAAUCUCGAAAAGGAAAAGAACAACCAGGAGAUUGACCUGAUGUUCCAGCUCAAGUCGCUCCAGCAGAAUCUGGAGCAGGAGGAGGCAGAGCAUAAGGCUACCAAAGCUAAACUCGCAGAUAAAAGCGAAGUCAACAAAUCUAUCGAGGAGCCCAAAUCUGAGGCCUUAAAAGGGAUGGAGAGCACCCUGCAGGAGGAGCGCAACUUGAAGCUCCAGGUGGAAGAAGAACUGCUGCAACUGAAGAAGGAGCACUCCAUGCUAGACUGUGAUCACAAGCAAGCAGAGCAAAAGCUGGAGGAGUUGCAGGCACAAAAGGAGAAACUUUCUGAAGAGGUGAUGGACCUCACCCUCCGCCUGGAGCAGGAGACCCGCAAGCGAAGCUUGAGCCAGUCCGAUCUGAAAGCGCAGAAGCAGCAGGUGUCGGCGCUCGCCUCCUCCGAGAAACAGCUCAAACAGGAACUCAACCAACUGCUGGACAUGAAGCAGAGCCUGGAGAAGCAGAACCAGGAGCUACACAGGGAAAAGCAAGAGGCUGAUGGCCAGCUGAAGGAACUGAAGGACCAGCUGGAGGCAGAGCAGUAUUUCACAACUCUUUACAAGACACAGAUUCGUGAGCUGAAGGAUGAAUGCGAAGAGAAGAAUAAGAUGUAUAAAGAGGCGCAGCAGCAGCUGUCAGAAUACCAGGAGGAGAGGGAUUCUCUGGCAGCACAGCUGGAGAGCAGUCUGACCAAAGCGGAUUCUGAACAACUGGCUCGCUCCAUCGCCGAGGAGCAGUACUCGCUUCUGGAGAAGGAGAAGAUCAUGAAGGAGCUGGAGAUCAAGGACAUGCUGGCGAGACACAAACAGGAGCUGAGUGAGAAGGAGGCCACUAUCGACUCGCUGGAGGAGUCCAAUCGAACUUUGACGGAGGACGUGGCCAACCUGGCCAAUGAGAAAGAAGAGCUGAACAACCAGCUCAAAGACCUGCAGCAAGAACUGCAAAAAGCCGAAGAGAUGAAGAAAGAGCUGGAAAGUCUAAAAGUGACUUUUGAAAAACAAGUGCAGUCUGAAAGGACUCUGAAAAUUCAGGCUGUGAACAAGCUGGCUGAGGUGAUGCACCACAAGAAGGCGAAGGAGAAGGGGCGAGGGGGCGUCCGAGUUGUCGACUCCGAGAUGCACAAGAAGGAGAAGGAGAACAGGAAGCUGCAGCUGGAGCUGAAAGCAGCGAGGGAGAAACUUGACGGCUACAUCUUCAACCACCAGAAGGAGCUGGAUGACAUGCAGGCGAUGAUGAUCGAAGAGACCCACCUGCGCCAGGAGCUGCAGAUGGCUCUGGACAGUAAAGACAGCGACAUCGAGCGGCUUCGGUGUCAGAUCACGUCCCUUAGCGUUCACUCUCUGGACUCCACCAGCAUCAGCAGCAUCAACGAUUUGGAAAUGGCAGACGGAUUCCCAGUGAGCAUUACUCACUCUCGCACCUCCGAGUCGAUGUCCUUCACCUACCAGCGCACGCACAAAUCUGUCCGCGUUGACACUCGGCCCAACCUUCACUCGGCCCGGGCUCUGUUUGACUCCGAGUCAGAGGAUGAGGAAGACGACGAUGAGCCUGAGGAGCAUUGCCAGCGCCCUCUGGCUCUGACCUAUCCGCAGUCCCGUGAGCCAGAAGCCGGAGAUUCCAGGCUGGAGGGCUGGAUCUCCCUUCCUUCCAAGAACACAAAGCGAUUUGGCUGGGACAAAAAAUAUGUCGUCGUAAGCAGUAAGAAAAUCCUGUUUUACAACAGUCAGACGGACCAAGAGCAAGCUAACCCGUUCAUGACCCUGGACAUUGAGAAGCUGUUCCACGUUCGACCCAUCACUCAAACUGACUGUUACCGAGCAGACGUCAAAGAAAUCCCUAGAAUAUUCCAGAUCUUGUAUGCCAAUGAGGGUGAGAGCAAACGCGACCAGGAGGCCGGGGAGGAGCCCGCACCUUACGAACGAUCCAAUUGUAUCAUGCACAAAGGUCAUGAGUUCAUCAGCGCCAUGUACCACUUGCCCUGCAGCUGUGAGGUUUGCGUGCGGCCCCUGUGGAACGUCUUCAAGCCUCCGGCGGCCCUCGAGUGCCGCCGCUGCCAUACAAAGUACCACAAAGACCAUCUGGACAAGAAAGAAGAAGUUAUUGCUCCAUGCAAAGUGAACUACGAUAUGUCCACUGCCAAAGAGCUACUACUGCUGACCAGCUCCCAGACGGAACAGCAGCGUUGGGUCAAACACCUCCUCAAGCGCAUCCCGAGGAAAAACCCAACACUAAGUCCUCCGCCGGUAUCACGGAGAAGCCCCAGUGAAUCCCUGCCACACACCUCUCCUCAUGUGUCGCCAGAGUCUUCCCCCAAGGACUCGCCUCGCCUGUCCCACCGACGCGCCAUCAAAAUCCCGUCCACCAGACAGCCACAGACGUCAGACAAGUCCAGCACUGGCCCUAUGCUCCGUAUCAUCCUCCACUGACCCCUGAACUCCUCACCUCUGACCCUCACAUUUCUAAAAUUUCUCACACUUGGAGACUUUAACCCCGGCUGUGUUUUCAUCCAUGUGGAUUGUCUGGACCCAGUUGCCUGCACAUGAAAAGUACAGAACAAAAGAAAAAAAAAAGCCUGAAAAUAAUAGCAAAACGCAUGACAGAGAUUCAGAUUAAGUGGCUGUUGUCAUGAGAACUGGGAUGUUUUUUGUCAUUUUUGAUGAGGGGGAACUCAACCUCAUCUUCAUAAUGAGACUGCCUUUUUUUUAUAUUCACCGAUGGACUCAUUCAGAAUCGUUUGUGAAAUGUUCUGCUUCUUUAUGAACACUAAAAGCACAGCUGAUAUUACAUGAUUGUUACAUUUGUAUGGGUUUUGUAGUGGCACAUUAUACAGGGUGUCCUGUAAAUGUAUGAACAGAGUUUUAGAGAGGGAGGGCCUAUACCCUUUUUUUUUUUUUGAGCCUUAAUGUCCUGGACUUGUUUUUAUCACACUAAAUAUAGCCAUCACAGCAUUACGGAAUAAUGUGAAAUGUAUUUCUUCUUUUAGCUCAAUAUUCAGGACAUUAAAAAGACAACAUACAAAACUUGCAAG